ensembl:lncRNA MIR9-3HG MIR9-3 host gene
AGAGCCCAGAGAAGCGGCGCGCGGCCAGGAGCCCCCGCUCCGCCACUGCCGUGCCUGCCUCCCGCAGCUGUCUGCCAUGCGCUCGCCGGGGCAGGGGCGCCCGGAGGGCGGCUAGAGCUGGGCCUGAGCCCGGGAACGCGCCUGAUCAGGGGUGGCGGAGCCGCGGUCCCCACAGCCGCCCCACCCGCGCCGCUGCCUCGCUGGGGCCCGGGCCCCCUUCCCGGUCCCUGUAUGAGUGCCACAGAGCCGUCAUAAAGCUAGAUAACCGAAAGUAGAAAUGAUUCUCACAACUUCUGCGUGCGAGCGCCCGCCCCACCGACCGCCCCGGCCCGGCCCGCAAGAGCCAGAGGAGCCGAGAGGAGCCCAGCGCCGGCCCAGCGGACUCCAGCUCGACGGAGCGGCCGCGCCCCGACCAGUUACUCCCCUGCUGGUGCCUCCCUCCUUGGCGCGCUUCCCACCUGCGAUCGGCGCCCUCUUCGCAGUCACGAACUCGCCAGCAGCUAGCAGCACUGACUAGUAGGAGGGCCCGCCGGAGGAGAGGACAUGCUCUGGAGUCAGAAGACAGCGAAAAGAGAAGCAGAAGCCCCGGUGGCAAGAGUCUGAAGCUGGAAAGGAGGAGAACAUGAAACAUUGCUUGAAGACAAUGGCCGAGACAGCAGGUCCCACCCUGCACAGCCACCAGCAUCUCUCCCCUCAGCCCUGUCUCCUCUUCUGCAGUUGGGAUCUGCACAUUUAAGCCUGAAAUUGUCCUGUGAAGUGAAGUAUGAUCGGACAGCCUCUUUUCAGCUUUUAUGACAAUGGAGACAGAGGAAUUGUGGCUCUUGCCAAGGUCACAGGAUUGGAAUACAGAGCCAAGCCACCCCAGGACAUGCAAGAGCCUCAGAAGGGAAAAAAGCCCAGCAGGAAGGGAGAACAAGUAGCCUCUGUCCUGAAGUUGUAACAGCCAGGGGCCAGGAUGGAGGAGGAGGACCCCAUAAUCUGCCCAUCUGGGACUUGGCAGGGGACCUGGGAAAAUGUACCCCAACCCAUCCCUUAAGGGCCUUUGUCUUUGGCCCAUUGGCCUAGCAUCUACUUCUUCACCGUGUCUGUUCUUGUCACACCUAGUCAGGUCUGUUUGGGUCUGAGGUGCAUGGAACAUUCUGGGUAGGCCUCCAGCAAACGGAAGCUCUUCACCGUGUUUCCAGCCUGGGACCAAGGGCAGCAUACUGGCAAAGUUGCCAAAGCAAGGGACUCCAGCCUCUUAGGAGUUAAUGACUCCCUCUCCCCAGCUGUCCUCCCCUUGGUGCUCCUCUUCCUCCCUCCUCCUGCUCACAGCAGGCAGGGCCUAGACCCGGGAGCCAUGCUGCUGUGCUGUUGCCAGGGGAGCACGGAGGCAGAUCUGAGCUAUGCAGGGAAAAGGCCCAGCCUGUCAAAGUGUCUGAGAUGAACCGCCGCCGUCCCUGUGCAGCUGGGCUCAGACGUGUCUCAGCUCUUGUUCUGUGCCUGAGAAUGGCGAAACCCAGUGAGGUUCAAGGGCAAACUCGCUAUUCAUUAGUCAGGGGUUCUUGACGUCCCGUCUCUCCCAGGGAUGAGUUCCCCCCUCCUCUUUCUCCCCCUCCUAUGACACAUUCCUGGGUGCCUUUGGUGAGGACUGCACACCCUCCUCCUGCCUAGCCCCCUCUCCAAAGGCCCCUGAAUAAACUCCCCCCAAGGAGACCAGGCAGGGCAGAGACAAUGGCUGCAGGAAAUCAUUCAGGCGGGACAUGCUGGCCUGCCCUCCACCCAGUCCCCCUGUGGGCCCCACUCCCUUCUGAUUCAGGGCACCCUUGGGCCCCCAGCCUAUACAGGCCUGGACAGGAAGAAACCACUGGGAACCACCCUAAGGACAACAUGCUAGUCCAGUGCCAUUCUUCGCUGGCUCUGUGGGUGCCUUUGUGGCCUGUACCGACUGGCUGGCUAAUUUUGUGGUUUCUGUACCAUCACAUGCCUAUUUUAAGACACUCUCCAGCACUGUCGGUUAGGGAGUGUAAAUUUUGCAAUAUUUUCUGAAAUGUGGCAAUAUCAAAAUGUAAAAGGCACACAUACUUGGUCACAAACAAAUGGCACUAUUUACUCUGUGGGCAUAUUUGUAAAAGUUGCCAAAGAAUUAUAUACAAGGAUGUUCAUCAGAGCAUUUCUUUUGAAGAGUAAAGAAAUGGACAUGAACCUGUGGUCCGUUCAUACGGUGGAAUACCUAUGCAGCUGUAAAAAUCAGUGUGGUAGAUCUCCGUAUAUGAGUUGAUGUGGAAGGUUGGCCAGUUCACAUGAUAAGGUGAAUAGAAUAAGUUACAGAACAGGCUGUAGAGUAUGAUCUUAUUUGUAGAUGUUUAAAACUGAGUCAUAAGUAUGCUUAUAUACAGAUCGUUUCUGGAAGUAUGUACUGGAAGUCUACCUCUGGGGAGUGGGGAUGGGGGAGUGCACUCUUCUAUACUGUUAUAUUUUCUUUUCAUGCUCCUAAGGUACUUUUAUUGGAAGAUGUAAAGCGGUUCAAUGUAAUAGGCUUAACUUCUGUCAACUAAGUUGGCGUGGGUGCUUUAAGAGGGUGGUAGUGAUGUUGCUGGAGAAAGUAUCCCACAGUCACUGGUGGCUUCAGCCACGGGCCAUUUUGGGGCCUAAUAAUCACAUAUCAUCAUGGUUGCUAGUGUUAAUCGAAAACCUACUAAGUGCCAGGCUUACUGUCUCUGGGUCUUGCUUACGUGGAUGUCAUUUUUCCAGUUGCACCAAAUCGAAAGAGGUUAAUUGGUUUGUUGGAGUUCCUUUGUAGGUGAAGGGCAGAGCCAGGAGCUUGGCUAGGGACAGGGGAGGUGAGUGGGGGAUGGUGGAUAGGUCUUGGCUCCCAGUUUCCUUCUGGGCAGACAUUGCCCCUCUGCCCUGAGGACCUGCUUGUUUGGGGGAAGAGGCCUUUAGAGGCACCAGGGUCAUGCCAGGUGUUGGACAUGGUGAACUGGGAAGUGCUCCCAUCUGGCCACAGCGCAGAAGUAUCACCGUGCUGGGGGAUGGGGAACAGGGCUGUGAAUGGGCCUAUUUGCAUAAGCAGCAUGUGUCUGGAGAGAAAGACAUCACAGAGCAGAAGAGUGCGGGUGCCCAGGAGUGCACUUGCCACCCCUACUUCAUCCCUGAAAGAGUAAAUGGCCUGGAAGGUGUCUCUGAGAGGUAAUGCCGCACACCACCCUCCCUGGGGGCAGGGUCAGGCUACACCUGCCUUAGGUCGGGGGCUGCAGCAGCCUGAGAGCUCUCAGUAGGGCCUCAGUAGCCUGGGAGGGAGCAGGGGCAGGGGGCAGGGAAAGAGGCGUAAUGGGGCUGUCCAGAGGGGCCUGGGAAACCUGGUCCCUGAGGCCUGGGCACAGCUACAAUCACUUCAAAUUGGCUGUGGGGCCAGUGGACUGGGAAGGAAAAAAGCAAUAAGAGUGACCAAGUGCAGAAGGCUGUCAGGUCCCAGGUCACAUGCCUUAGUGCAGUGACUCCUCAUCAUUUUAUGGGGUGUGGGUGUCGUUGGUACACCCAUUUUACAGAUGAGGACACCGAGGCCCAGAAAAGUUAAGUUACAUGUCCUAAGUCACACAGCUUGUAAGUGCCAGAACUGAGAUCAAAACCAAGUCUCUUUGACUUUAAAGUCUGUACUCUGACCCCAAAGAGAUCCUGUUUGGCCACUUAUAGGAGGUCCCUAAAGCUGCAGACUCCCCUUGCCGGCACCCACAUAUAGAGACAUUAACCCUUCCCCUGCAGGGUCACCUCAAAUAGUCUUUUAGCUGGGCUUCUCCUGCAAUUCCACCUAAUGCCAUCCCCUGGGUUUUGCCCAAACCUGAACUGGGCAGUGGGGUGAGAGGAGGGGUUUACAGGGUUACAGAGCCUCAUACAGAUAGGAGCCCAUGGCUGCUGGUCAUCUGCAUUCCUGCAGGAUUGGCUGUUCCUUGGGGUCCUUGGCAGGAAAAUGAGGAUUGCUCCGAGGCCUGCUCCAGUACUUCCCAGAGGCUGGCCUGGUGUGGGGCUCUGGGAAGGCUGAGGCUGGAGAAGCGUAAGUAGGAGGGCAGAGAUGGCACUCAGGUAGCUUGAAUCACCAGGACCCUUCCAAGCCCCACAGGUUCUGAGGGAGUACUAGGGCCAGCUCUGGGAGAGGUCUCUUCCUAUGCUGUGAACCCCCUGCCUUUCUUGCAGCCUACAACGAAUAAAUUUUCUUUGCAAA